UACGGAGGGUCCGAGCGUUGUCCGGAAUUACUGGGCGUAAAGAGCUCGUAGGUGGUUUGUCACGUUGUUCGUGAAAACUCACAGCUUAACUGUGGGCGUGCGGGCGAUACGGGCAGGCUAGAGUACUGCAGGGGAGACUGGAAUUCCUGGUGUAGCGGUGGAAUGCGCAGAUAUCAGGAGGAACACCGGUGGCGAAGGCGGGUCUCUGGGCAGUAACUGACGCUGAGGAGCGAAAGCGUGGGGAGCGAACAGG
rnacentral:rRNA from 1 species